rnacentral:rRNA from 1 species
CGUGAUUACACAUGCAAGUCGAACGAUGAUGCCCAGCUUGCUGGGCGGAUUAGUGGCGAACGGGUGAGUAAUACGUGAGUAACCUGCCCUUGACUCUGGGAUAAGCCUGGGAAACUGGGUCUAAUACUGGAUACUACCUCUUACCGCAUGGUGGGUGGUGGAAAGGGUUUUACUGGUUUUGGAUGGGCUCACGGCCUAUCAGCUUGUUGGUGGGGUAAUGGCUCACCAAGGCGACGACGGGUAGCCGGCCUGAGAGGGUGACCGGCCACACUGGGACUGAGACACGGCCCAGACUCCUACGGGAGGCAGCAGUGGGGAAUAUUGCACAAUGGGCGGAAGCCUGAUGCAGCGACGCCGCGUGAGGGAUGACGGCCUUCGGGUUGUAAACCUCUUUCAGUAGGGAAGAAGCGAGAGUGACGGUACCUGCAGAAGAAGCGCCGGCUAACUACGUGCCAGCAGCCGCGGUAAUACGUAGGGCGCAAGCGUUGUCCGGAAUUAUUGGGCGUAAAGAGCUCGUAGGCGGUUUGUCGCGUCUGCUGUGAAAGCCCGGGGCUCAACCCCGGGUCUGCAGUGGGUACGGGCAGACUAGAGUGCAGUAGGGGAGACUGGAAUUCCUGGUGUAGCGGUGAAAUGCGCAGAUAUCAGGAGGAACACCGAUGGCGAAGGCAGGUCUCUGGGCUGUUACUGACGCUGAGGAGCGAAAGCAUGGGGAGCGAACAGGAUUAGAUACCCUGGUAGUCCAUGCCGUAAACGUUGGGCACUAGGUGUGGGGGACAUUCCACGUUUUCCGCGCCGUAGCUAACGCAUUAAGUGCCCCGCCUGGGGAGUACGGCCGCAAGGCUAAAACUCAAAGGAAUUGACGGGGGCCCGCACAAGCGGCGGAGCAUGCGGAUUAAUUCGAUGCAACGCGAAGAACCUUACCAAGGCUUGACAUUCACCGGACUACCCCAGAGAUGGGGUUUCCCUUCGGGGCUGGUGGACAGGUGGUGCAUGGUUGUCGUCAGCUCGUGUCGUGAGAUGUUGGGUUAAGUCCCGCAACGAGCGCAACCCUCGUUCUAUGUUGCCAGCACGUGAUGGUGGGGACUCAUAGGAGACUGCCGGGGUCAACUCGGAGGAAGGUGGGGAUGACGUCAAAUCAUCAUGCCCCUUAUGUCUUGGGCUUCACGCAUGCUACAAUGGCCGGUACAAAGGGUUGCGAUACUGUGAGGUGGAGCUAAUCCCAAAAAGCCGGUCUCAGUUCGGAUUGAGGUCUGCAACUCGACCUCAUGAAGUCGGAGUCGCUAGUAAUCGCAGAUCAGCAACGCUGCGGUGAAUACGUUCCCGGGCCUUGUACACACCGCCCGUCAAGUCACGAAAGUUGGUAACACCCGAAGCCGGUGGCCUAACCCCUUGUGGGAGGGAGCCGUCGAAGGUGA